AGCAUCUAUGUCAGGGCCGGCCAGGACAUGUGACUGUAAACAGAAGUUUUUAACUUUUUUAACUCAAAGAGGGUAUGUGUCUGGGUUAAUGGAAAGCUUCAGGACCCUCAGAAAACAUUACUAACAAGCAAAUGAAAGGUGUAUCUGGAAGAUUAUGUUCUAACAGACUCUUCCUUUUCAUUGAUCCAAUAAUGCACUCAGGGAGAUGGCCGGGCAUAUUGAGGACAGGAAGAGAGAAAUGAAAACACAGCUUUUUAAGUUGUUCUUAAAAAGAACAACACAGGCUUGUGCCAAACAUCAUCUGGGUGGAUUUAGGUGAUUGAGGAGAAGAAAGACACAGGAGUGAAAUUCUGUAAUCACAAGUGAGGAGUUCUACACUCAGGCUGAGCCAACAGACUUUUCUGACCUGACAACGAGGGCGGCACAGGAUGCUCAGUGCAGAGAGGAAGAAGCAGGUGGUCUCUGCAGCUGGAAGCUCAGCUCCCACCCAGCUGCUUUGCAUGUCCCUCCCAGCUGCCCUACCUUCCAGAGCCCAUAUCAAUGCCUGGGUCAGAGCUCUAGGGAGGAACUGCUCAGUUACGACCCAGAGGGAACCAUGGAAGCCCCAGCACAGCUUCUCUUCCUCCUGCUACUCUGGCUCCCAGAUACCACCGGAGAAAUUGUGUUGACGCAAUCUCCAGCCACCCUGUCUUUGUCUCCAGGGGAAAGAGCCACCAUCUCCUGCAGGGCCAGUCAGAGUGUUAGCAACUACUUAGCCUGGUACCAGCAGAAACCUGGGCAGUCGCCCAGGCUCCUCAUCUAUGAUGCAUCCAACAGGGCCACUGGCAUCCCAGCCAGGUUCAGUGGCAGUGGGUCUGGGACAGACUUCACUCUCACCAUCAGCAGCCUAGAGCCUGAAGAUUUUGCAGUUUACUACUGUCAGCAGUAUAAUAACCAGACUCCCACAGUGAUUCAACAUGAAACAAAAACCUCAACAAGACCAUCAGUGUUUACUAGAUUAUUAUACCAGCUGCUUCCUUUACAGACAGCUAGUGUGGUGGCCACUCAGUUUUAGCAUCUCUGCUCUAUUUGGCCAUUUUGGAGUUCAAGAUGUCAAAUCCAAAAUUACUUAUGUUAGUCCA